rnacentral:rRNA from 1 species
CUACGGGCUGCUCCAGUGGGGAAUAUUGCACAAUGGAGGAAACUCUGAUGCAGCAACGCCGCGUGGAGGAUGACACUUUUCGGAGCGUAAACUCCUUUUAUAUAGGAAGAUAAUGACGGUACUAUAUGAAUAAGCACCGGCUAACUCCGUGCCAGCAGCCGCGGUAAUACGGAGGGUGCAAGCGUUACUCGGAAUCACUGGGCGUAAAGAGCGUGUAGGCGGGUUAAUAAGUCAGAAGUGAAAUCCUAUGGCUCAACCAUAGAACUGCUUUUGAAACUGUUAACCUAGAGUGUGGGAGAGGUAGAUGGAAUUUCUGGUGUAGGGGUAAAAUCCGUAGAGAUCAGAAGGAAUACCGAUUGCGAAGGCGAUCUACUGGAACAUAACUGACGCUGAGACGCGAAAGCGUGGGGAGCAAACAGGAUUAGAUACCCCGGUAGUC